GAUGAACGCUGGCGGCGUGCCUAAUACAUGCAAGUCGAGCGAACAGACGAGGAGCUUGCUCCUCUGACGUUAGCGGCGGACGGGUGAGUAACACGUGGAUAACCUACCUAUAAGACUGGGAUAACUUCGGGAAACCGGAUCUAAUACCGGAUAAUAUAUUGAACCGCAUGGUUCAAUAGUGAAAGACGGUUUUGCUGUCACUUAUAGAUGGAUCCGCGCCGCAUUAGCUAGUUGGUAAGGUAACGGCUUACCAAGGCAACGAUGCGUAGCCGACCUGAGAGGGUGAUCAGCCACACUGGAACUGAGACACGGUCCAGACUCCUACGGGAGGCAGCAGUAGGGAAUAUUCCGCAAUGGGCGAAAGCCUGACGGAGCAACGCCGCGUGAGUGAUGAAGGUCUUCGGAUCGUAAAACUCUGUUAUUAGGGAAGAACAAAUGUGUAAGUAAAUAUGCACGUCUUGACGGUACCUAAUCAGAAAGCCACGGCUAACUACGUG
rnacentral:rRNA from 1 species